rnacentral:rRNA from 1 species
CCUACGGGAGGCAGCAGUGAGGAAUAUUGGUCAAUGGACGAGAGUCUGAACCAGCCAAGUAGCGUGAAGGAUGACUGCCCUAUGGGUUGUAAACUUCUUUUAUAUGGGAAUAAAAUGUUCCACGUGUGGGAUUUUGUAUGUACCAUAUGAAUAAGGAUAGGCUAACUCCGUGCCAGCAGCCGCGGUAAUACGGAGGAUCCGAGCGUUAUCCGGAUUGAUUGGGUUUAAAGGGAGCGUAGGUGGAUUGUUAAGUCUGUUGUGAAAGUUUGCGGCUCAACCGGAAAAUUGCAGUUGAAACUGGCAGUCUUGAGUACAGUAGAGGUGAGCGGAAUUCGUGGUGUAGCGGUGAAAUGCUUAGAUAUCACGAAGAACUCCGAUGGCGAAGGCAGCUCACUGGACUACAACUGACACUGAGGCUCGAAAGUGUGGGUAUCAAACAGGAUUAGAUACCCGAGUAGUC